GCGCGUUGCAGUCAGUCAGAGCUGUAUUAUUCUCAUUGAAUGCAUCCUGGAGGGAAGAUAAAUUGCCCGGAAGCCUGGAAAUCCGCACGAGUUGUUCCCUGCCUGAAGCUAGACAAGGCUUCAGUGGUGGCUCCAGAAGAGAGACCCUCCUUCCGCCAAGAAAUGUCUGGCGUCCAUCGGCAUCACUCGGCGCUGGAUUCUGUUCGCAGCACCGGAAGCAAUGGCUGUCAAAAGGAUCAAGGUGGGUUGUGUUCCUCGACGCGAAACUGGUAUAUCAUACACUCAGUCGAAUUUUCAUCCUCCAGGUGCUUACUUGUGCUUCUUCUGCGCUCUAAGAAAAUCGCAGCUUCUACUCCCCUGAACUGCAAUUACUCCCCAUUUUGGAACCCCUAACCCGACAUUUACUCCCCAGGACUGCAAAUUGUCACUGAACUUCGCGAAUCGUCUCCUGAAUGCAACAGUCUACGGAAAUAUGUGCCCUCGGUCAAUUUGAUGCCAUAAGGCUGUAUAACUCAGCCAACGUAGCAAUUUUCCAGCCACACAGAGUAAGAAACAGUUAGUGCAUCUUUCUUCGCACAUUGUGCCCUAUGUAUGGCGCAAGAUUUUAUAUCACGCGAUAUAUCACGGUUGACGAUUUGCUUCAAAGUAUUUUCAUGCAUGCACACCAAUUAUGUACGUGACACUCUUACAACAGCGCGUGGAAUACAGUCUCCACCCUGUGACAUUCAUUUACUCUCGCGCAUUUACUCCCGAAAGGGACUAUUUUUUGUGGCAGUGCAUUCAGUGCCCAAAAGGAGUAAAAUUACUCCUUUUUUUCCUUAGAGUGUGUCAUCAAGCGGAAAACGUUGGGUCACGGAUUUCCUUCGCGGUGGGACCCUGUUCAUCCGCACAGAGACACACGCACACAAAUCCAGCCCUAACACAUUUUCCUCGUAAUUUCGUUUUCAUAAUUCAGUUCAACUGUUACCCACUCAAAAGGUGAAGUGCCACCAAGCCACGCUUCGCCAUAGAAGAUGAAAAGGAUAUACUGCUUUGGAUUUCGCGUAUCAAUUUACUCCUUCGACCUGUCUCGCUGAGAUUCUUGCUUGACGAUGGCUCGCCUCCUUUCCUUCUUGUCCACUCUCUUCUUCGGGCAUCUUCCAACGCCAGACGCGGUGCCGACGAUGAUGUUCCACCACUACCGGCGCAUCGUUUCUCGCCUCCCGGGCGCCUUCAUCUGCCUUCGGAAAGAACUGACGAUAUGCCACAACAUCCACCGCUACCUGUCGGGCGCCGUGAACUUCAUUUGCGACAUCCUGCACGAAAACUCGUGCCUGCUGGACGAGUGCUUCGAAGCCGUCAGAUACAUCGUCGCCCACCAUCGUCGGCAUCUCUCACCCGACGAUUAUUGACGCCUCGUUUGUUCCAUCGUGCACGCCAUUCCUUCGCCCAACUAUAACACCACCGCCAUGCCUCAAGACCUCAUAGACGUCCUCCUCAAACAUCUUAACGCACUGUGAGGGCUUCUGGAUUUCUCUUUCUGACUUCGGCCUUCUGCCUGUCACUGGACCCCUUUAAGACCUCGGAUUCAUUGGCUCCCAGCAACUGCGGCAUUCAACCCCACCUCCCCGUGGUGGGAGCUGGUAACGGGUUCGAAACACCACAGCGAAUCUGCCCAACGAGGCUCUGAAUGCCGCCACCAAAACGGAAAAAUGUCAUCAUCUACCUAUCUAACGCCCAAUGGAGCAAAAUAUUCGUUCAUCUACGCUGCAACUGAUCAAAGUCACCCGUAUACGUCUACGUGGUCAACACAAUGUUGUCUACAACAUAUUGUAACACUGGAAUCCCAGGUCAUCUACACAAGCUCCGCGUGGUCUGGCAUCCAAAGUCACACUCUUCGCCAGCCACGUUGGAGCAGAAAAUGGAAUGUGUUUCCCGCCUGCGCAAAUAUUAUAAAAGAAGACCCUGCGCAGGCGGAUGGGGUCGCGGGCCAGAGGAAAUUGCCAUCAAAAAUAGAAAAUCGUCGAAGUCAUCGAAGUCGUCAUCUAUGUUCAGAAGGCUCAUGAAAUAUUCCUCUCGUAAACACAGUCGUUGGAGAUCCAGACACAAAAACUGAGACCAAAAGGAAAGGACACUUUGUGCCCUGUGAGACGUGGCGGUGCACAGGAAACGGAUCAUGAUAGACUCGUGAUAGGAAAUAAAGCGGCACAAGUGUUUUUUUUCUCUAAAGUAAGUUGAAUUUUAGAAAAGAGUGGACAAAGUGAACGGAAUGGGCAUCGCAGA